GGAACGAACGCUGGCGGCAUGCCUAAUACAUGCAAGUCGAACGAACUCUUCGGAGUUAGUGGCGCACGGGUGCGUAACGCGUGGGAAUCUGCCCUUGGGUUCGGAAUAACAGUUGGAAACGACUGCUAAUACCGGAUGAUGACGAAAGUCCAAAGAUUUAUCGCCCAGGGAUGAGCCCGCGUAGGAUUAGCUAGUUGGUGAGGUAAAGGCUCACCAAGGCGACGAUCCUUAGCUGGUCUGAGAGGAUGAUCAGCCACACUGGGACUGAGACACGGCCCAGACUCCUACGGGAGGCAGCAGUAGGGAAUAUUGGACAAUGGGGAC
rnacentral:rRNA from 1 species